AAUGACUCUCGGCAACGGAUAUCUCGGCUCUCGCAUCGAUGAAGAACGUAGCGAAAUGCGAUACUUGGUGUGAAUUGCAGAAUCCCGUGAACCAUCGAGUCUUUGAACGCAAGUUGCGCCCGAAGCCAUCCGGCUGAGGGCACGUCUGCCUGGGUGUCACGCA
rnacentral:rRNA from 1 species